rnacentral:sRNA from 12 species
GUACAACCAGCGUCCACAUUUCGCCUCUGGCAUUUCCCUGUACGUUAGCGAUGAUCCGCAAGGUAGCAAUGGGUGUACCACCUAUAGCGUCAGAGUUCCCUGAUCAGGAUGACGCUUAGGU